UNCAAUAGUCUCAUGUCCAGGAUCCAGGGC
rnacentral:piRNA from 1 species